rnacentral:lncRNA from 10 species
AAUCAGCGAGACUCCGUGGGCGUAGGACCCUCCGAGCCAGGUGCGGGAUAUGAUCUCGUGGUGCACCGUUUUUUUAAGCCCGUCGGAAACGCGCAGUAUUCGGGUGGGAGUGACCCGAUUUUCCAGGUGCCGUCCGUCACCCGUUUCUUUGACUCAGACAGGGAACUCCCUGACCCCUUGCGCUUCCCAAGUGAGGCAAUGCCUCGCCCUGCUUGGGCUCGCGCAUGGUGCGCUCACCCACUGACCUGCACCCACUGUCUGGCACUCCCUAGUGAGAUGAACCCGGUACCUCAGAUGGAAAUGCUGAAAUCACCCGUCUUCUUCGUUGCUCACGCUGGGAGCUGUAGACAGGAGCUGUUCAUAUUCGGCCAUCUUGGCUCCUCCCCGCACCAAUAGGUGACGGAAGGUGAGGAGAGAGCACUGAGACCAAGCAAAUGGAGGCACUCAGGGAAUGAGAGGCUAAAGAUGAGAAGCUGCUAUGUUGUGAGAUGCCCUAUGGAGUAGCCUAUGUGGCAAGUAACCAAAGGAGAUCACCAGCUAACAGCUCAUGAGAGACGGAGGCCUCUGUCCAACACCCUGCAAUGAACUGAAUCUAUCCAACAACCACAGAAAUAAACUUGCAAGUGGGUUUCCCAGGUGAGUCUUCAGCUGAGAUCACAGCCCCAGUCAACAUUUUGAUGGAAGCCUGUAAGAGACCCUGGGACAGAAGCAUCCAGCUAAGCCAUGCCAGUUUCCUGAGACCUAUAAGAAACUGAGAUAAUAAAUGUGUGCUAUUUUAAAAUGCUAUGUUUUGAGGUAUUUUAUUACACAGUAAAGGAUAACUAAUGCAGUUAGAAUUUGGGUAAGCUAGAAUUUGAACUUAAAACUUAUGUGACCCUAAACCCAUCUUCUUUCUAUGCUACCUUCUUUCUAUGCCAUUCUGAACAUUUAUCAAACAUUUUUUAUGUGCUGGCUGUCAUGAUAGGCACU